ACCGAGUCGAUAAUCGGCCGUUGGACAGUCUGGCGAGCCGGAUAAGCGUGACUAGAGUCUUUCAAAAUCAGAGGAAAAUCUUUCAAACUGACCUUUUUGGAUCUGAAAUAAAGACAGAUUCAGCAG